rnacentral:misc_RNA from 1 species
CAGGCUGGCACGAGCAACAUUUCGAUCCCCCGGCGGCUCCUCCUCGAAGGUGCCGUCGGAGGGUCGCGUGUUUCUGGUGUUGCGUUGGGACGACGCGUGAGCGGCUUUUAGGACAUGAUCCCAGCGCAGGCUCCAUGCUAUAGCGUCGAACUGCCCUGGUCUGUUCCGUUUCAUUGGUCGGUUCGCGUCGGCCCUAUCAGGGUCGGUAGCGGCAGAACGGUGGGUUACUGUUUCCCGAUAUCUGAUUACGGCAGUCGCACGGGCUAUCGUACCCGUCAUGGUUCCGUCGAUCCACCCCCCGUCUCUUGGGAGUCGGUGGAUGUAGCGCGGGCAUCCGACGUCGUCCGUCGGGGAAGGCGUCCCCCACUUCGGGCGCAUCUUCUAGGGACGGCGGGCGGGUGCCGCCGGGCACGCUCUCGGGUGCGGCGAUGUCGCUGGUCGUCGCAUCGUCCCUCGUCGGCCGUUGUGAUCUCGACCUGUCGAAGCGCUGACGCUUCGCCCGCGUGACUGUCGUCCCUGCCUAAGGGUUGACGGGGCCUUCUCGGUUCCGUGAUCGCCUAGGGGAGGCGUCGAGGUCUACGGAGGAAUGC